CCUCUUUUAGGAAUAUGAAACCGUAAGUUUUCUUCUCCCGUUUUGCACUGAUUUCUUCCUCCGACGAACUUCCAGUUUUUCAUAUGGAUUUUUAUACUUUUUAUUCCUUUCACCAUCUCAGUUUUUUUUCUACAACUGUGAUUGUUUAAUCAACUACAAGGAAGAUGGUGAUGGUGGCCUGAAAAGGAACGAUGACAACGACAUGGGUUGAUUUAGGGUUUCUCCGGUGGUGGUCUUAUGAUGGUUGUGGUUUAACGCGACGGCGGCUAGGGUUCCACCACAUAACUUUGACCAGUUGUGGUUUCGGCCGCGUAUCGUAAACACAAUGUUGGGUUGAAAAGUCAAAAUGGAUGGCUAUGGGAUGGGAACAAAAGAUAGAAAGUAGUAGCAUGCUAUUCACUAAUUUUGCUGGUUUGGAAAAACGAGCUUGACUCAGGGAAGCCUAUGGAACUCAUGUUGUCAGCCACUAAUUUGCAGCAAGUAAAAGGUGUUAAAUAGAGGUACCAAAAAGGAACAUUUGUAU